CUUUGGUUCUAUUUUGUUGGUUUCUAGGACCGAGGUAAUGAUUAAUAGGGACAGUUGGGGGCAUUAGUAUUUAAUUGUCAGAGGUGAAAUUCUUGGAUUUAUGAAAGACUAACUUCUGCGAAAGCAUUUGCCAAGGAUGUUUUCAUUAAUCAAGAACGAAAGUUAGGGGAUCGAAGACGAUUAGAUACCGUCGUAGUCUUAACCAUAAACUAUGCCGACUAGGGAUCUGUGGGUGUUUUUUCAAGACUCCAUGGGCACCUUGUGAGAAAUCAAAGUUUUUGGGUUCCGGGGGGAGUAUGGUCGCAAGGCUGAAACUUAAAGGAAUUGACGGAAGGGCACCACAAGGAGUGGAGCCUGCGGCUUAAUUUGACUCAACACGGGGAAACUCAC
rnacentral:rRNA from 1 species